rnacentral:lncRNA from 1 species
UUUCGAGGCACAUCUUCAAGAAGCAGCAGCUGCGGAAGCCCAGACACCAGGAAGGUGAGAUCUUCGACACAGAAAAAGAGAAAUACGAGAUCACAGGGCAGCGCAAGAUUGAUCAGAAAGCUGUGGACUCACAGAUUUUACCAAAAAUCAAAGUUAUUCCUUAGCUCCAGGGCUACCUGAGAUCUGUGUUUGUUCUGAGGAAUGGAAUUUAUCCUCACAAAUUGGUGUUCUAAAUUUCUUAAGAACCUAAUUAAAUAACUGAUAACAUUUAAAAAAUAAUAAAGCUGUGGGGACAGAGGCC